UUGAACGCUGGCGGCAUGCUUUAACAUGCAAGUCGAACGGUAACAGGUCUUCGGAUGCUGACGAGUGGCGAACGGGUGAGUAAUACAUCGGAACGUGCCUGGUAGUGGGGGAUAACUACUCGAAAGAGUAGCUAAUACCGCAUGAGAUCUACGGAUGAAAGCAGGGGACCUUCGGGCCUUGUGCUACCAGAGCGGCUGAUGGCAGAUUAGGUAGUUGGUGGGGUAAAGGCUUACCAAGCCUGCGAUCUGUAGCUGGUCUGAGAGGACGACCAGCCACACUGGGACUGAGACACGGCCCAAACUCCUACGGGAGGCAGCAGUGGGGAAUCUUGCACAAUGGAGGAAACUCUGAUGCAGCGAUGCCGCGUGAGUGAAGAAGGCCCUUGGGUUGUAAAGCUCUUUCGUCGGGGAAGAAAAUGACUGUACCCGAAUAAGAAGGU
rnacentral:rRNA from 1 species